AAAAAUUAAAAAAAAGAUUGCUUAAGGCCUGUCUGCCUCUCUUUCAAAGGGGAAAUCCCUCAGCUUCUUUAAAUAAAUUCAAUCCUGCCAACUAGAGAUGAGGGUUGAUUAGAUGAGAUUGGGGGAAGAAGCCCUCCUUCUCAAUGAGUGGUCCAGAAACCAGCAGCAUGGGCACCCCAUGGGAGUGGUCAGAAAUGCCGACACCGAGGGCCCUGAACUGCUGAGUCAGGCUCUUCUAAUGAUCCCUAAGUGGUCUGCACACACAUCAUGCCUUGGAGAAGCCCUGCUGUGAGGCACCCACGCAGAUCCAGACACUCACUGACCAUGGUGGGAGGUGGCACCUAUUUUAUUUUUAUGAUGAGAGGGAACCUCAAACUCUACUGUGAUGUAAGUGGUCUCAAAGGCCCUUUGAAGUCACCAUUUUAUCUAAAUCAGAAAUAGGAAAAAAAUAAGAAAUGGCCAGCUUAGAAAGACUCAAAUUCUUUUGCGGGGGGAAAAACCAGGAAGAAAGAAAAGAAAAAUACAUUGUUUCCUUGGCCAUCUGUGUGAAGAAAUAACAAAACCACCGUUGACAUACCAGCAGGAAAGAACACUGGAGAGCUUCACUUGACAGAAUUAUUACAAACGCCUCUUCCUGGUUCAGGGGGAAAAAAAAUUCCAAAUAGGUUUGUGAUAUUUUUUUCCCUAGCAUGCUUGCAACUCCCAGUAGAGCCAAUAACCAGUUUUCAAAACCUUUUGAUUCUACUCAUCCCCUGGUUAAUAAUUUCCAGUUUACCCAGCAGGCUACGUAACAUCCCCUUUCCUGGGAAAGAAUUUCUGUGCCCCGGCUGGCAGUGAACUGGUCCCCUUAGCAGCUGACCUCCUCCUCCAGCCCUGUGGCUGCCUCCUCUCCAACAGGGACCCUCCUGAUGCACAGACUUACUCUUGGAGAGGCUCCUCCCAAAAGUCACCCAGCUGAUUUUCAUCCACUUGGCUCCCCAAGUUGCUGCUCGACCGCUCUCUGACCUGGAUUCACUGAGGACACAUCAGGCCUUUGCCACGGGCUCCAUGGAGUGGCCGGAGCCCAGGGCUGGAGGAACUCAUGCACAUGUGUCCUGGAGACCUGCAAGAGGACAGCACCAUGGAGAUGACCAGCAACUAAUACCACCCAAAGGUCCACCAACAGGAGAAUGGAUACCCCAGCAGGGGUGCAUGCAUGCAACGGAACACACCACGUACUGGUGAGAGUGAAUCAAUGUCGGUCACACGCAUCAACGCCGAUGAGGCUGAGACUCGUAAUAUCAAAUUUAGAAUUGCAAGUAGCAGAAGGAUCAAAGUUAUAUUUGUAAUAAAGCUUAAACACAAGCAAAUCGAGCACUGUAUUGUUUAGGCACACAUUCACAUUUGGUAAAGACAUAAAGCAAAGCAAGGGAACGAGACAAAAAUGAAAUCCCAGAGUAAUCAGGUGGUCAGGUCUUGGGGGGUGGCGUGGAGUUGGGGAAGGGCAUCAGAGUGGAUCUCACCUCAGCUCCGACUGCUUUGGGAAGUUCUAGUUCUGACAUGGAGUGGUGGGUUCACAGCUGUUUGAUUGCUUGUUAUGCUUUAUAACAAUAUAAACUGCAUAUGUUCAGUUGAAAUAUUUCAUAAUAAAGGUUUUUUAAAAAAGAACAUUGGGCUCAUCUUUCCCAUCAGAUACAGGCAUUUUUGUUUUGAAUUUCUAUUUCCUUUUUUUAAUGAGCAAGGAUCGUUUGCCUCUGAAAAUAUAAAUUAAAAAAAAAAAUAAGGCUGGGCACAGUGGCUCACGCCUGUCAUCCUAGUACUUUGGGAGGCCGAGGUGGGUGGAUCACUUGAAGUCAGGAGUUCGAGACCAGCCUGGGCAACAUGGUGAAACCCCAUCUCUACCAAAAAUAUAAAAAAUUAGCCAGGCGUGGAGGCGUGCGUCUGUAAUCCCAGCUACUUGGGAGGCUGAGGCAGGAGAAUCGCUUGAACCCGGGGGGCAGAGGUUGCACGAGCCGACAUUGUGUCACUGCACUCCAGCCUGGGUGACAGAGCGAGACUCCAUCUCAAAAAUAAAUAAAUUAUUUAAAUAUUUUUUUAGAAAAAGCACUGGAUUUGCAGUUGGGAGCACAAGACUUGGGGUUGCCCCUUCCCACAACCACUGUCAUUGCUGGGACCUCUGCAGCCAUCUCCUCCCGGCCUCCAUCCUCACCCACUCCAUUUCAGUCUCUGUUUGGCCCCCAGCUGAGUUAUCUUUGUAACCAUAAAUGGCAUUCGCUCAUUUUACUGCUUCCUGAAGUCCAAGCCUGUUCUUUUCAACCAUGUUUCUCCCUGUUCCUCUUCACCAUUUGUAUGUAGCCAGAUGUAGAGUUCAUGGAACCAAAAACCUGCCUUCUGCUUCUGUGUCUUUGCUCAAGCUGUACCUGGGAAAAUAAGUCAUCAGGUCUGAGCACCAGCGUCUGGGUCUCAGUGCUCAGCAUGCAAAAGAGACUGGGUUUAGGCUCUGUCACUCACCAUGAAUUCUACACGGAAUGACUUUUCUGUCCCUAAGUGAUCCUUCCAGGCUCAUUUCAGGCAACACCUCUUCCAGGAAGCCUUCCCUGAUAUCCAGCCUUUAUUCUCACAGCUCCUCUGGUAAUCCCUAUCAAAGUACCCUGAGAUUUCCACAGUACUUUGGAAUUUUCUGUGUAUGUGCCUCCUCCACUAGACUACCUACUCCCCAAAGGCAAAAACUGGGUCUUAUUUUGUUUGUCUCAAUAGCAACUGUACCAGCCGUGGCAUGGUGGCACUCAAAUGGUAACGCCCUGAGGGAAAGGUUUUGCCUGUUUUGCUCAUCUAUGUAUUCUAAGUGCCUAGAACACUGCCUGGCAUAUGGUAGCUGUGCUGCAAAUGGUUAUCGAGUGAAUGAAUAAAUGUUAACCUGUACUGAGUACUGAGUAAAGUUCUAUUGCUUGGAAGCUGUGUGAGCUUUGGUGAGACACUUAACGUCUCUGAGCCUCCCUUUCUCCCUCUGUCAAUGGGGAGAUUAAUAGUACUAUUCUUGAAGGAUCACCAUGAGAUUUGGCAGAAAGAUGCAUGUGACAGAGCCUAGAAAAUGGCAGGUGCACAGCCCGCGCUGCUUCAUAUGGAUUUAACCCUGGCCCCAGUGGCCUCAGGCAAAUUCCCAGUGGCUCUGAGGUUGUCCAUCUGAGCUCAGAGUCCCCGCUCAGCCUCCCUGGGUGGUCCAUGGGAAAAGGGGGUCGCAGGUCUGUGCUCCUCCUCCUUAGCCACGGGCCAGUGACCCCUAGGGUCACCUCUGACUGCUGGGUCCGUGGAUCUAUUGUGCAGGGCCUGUUGGUGGCUGGGCAGCCUCACUGAGUCUCCAGAGCCCAGCUGGUCAGUGCAGCCAAGGUCAUGGUCCUCAUUCCUUGAAUGGCUCUUUCUUUAAAUUGACGCAAACUCUUCUUCAGCAGCCACAGGUAGCUCCUAACGCAGCCAGCUGUCUGAGCACUCUCUUAGGUCCCUUUGGGUCCUAAAAUGC
rnacentral:lncRNA from 1 species